CAGCCGCCGCGGUAAUACGAAGGGGGCUAGCGUUGCUCGGAAUUACUGGGCGUAAAGGGAGCGUAGGCGGAUCGUUAAGUUGGGGGUGAAAGCCCGGGGCUCAACCUCGGAACUGCCUUCAAUACUGGCGAUCUUGAGUAUGAGAGAGGUGUGUGGAACUCCGAGUGUAGAGGUGAAAUUCGUAGAUAUUCGGAGGAACACCGAUGGCGAAGGCAGCCCCCUGGGCCAACACUGACGCUCAUGCACGAAAGCGUGGGGAGCAAACAGGAUUAGAUACCCGCGUAGUCCCUGUCUCUUAUAC
rnacentral:rRNA from 1 species